AUUGAACGCUGGCGGCAGGCCUAACACAUGCAAGUCGAACGAGUGGCGGACGGGUGAGUCAUGUCUGGGAAAUUGCCUGCUGGUGGGGGAUAACUACUGGAAACGGUCGCUAAUACCGCAUACCAUGAGAUGUUCCCAGGUGGGAUUAGCUUGUUGGUGGGGUAACGGGUCACCAGGGCGACGAUCCCUAGCUGGUCUGAGAGGAUGAUCAGGCGCACUGGAACAGAGCCACGGUCCAAGCGCCUACGGGAGGAAGCGUGGGAGAAUAUUGCGCGAUGGGCACAAGGCUGAUACAGCCAUGCCGCGUGGAUGAAGAGGGCCUUCGGGUUGUAAAGUACUUUCAGCGGGGAGGCGUUACCCGCAGAAGAAGCACCGGCUAACGCCGUGCCAGCCGCCGCGGUAAUAC
rnacentral:rRNA from 1 species